CUUGGUCAUUUAGAGGAAGUAAAAGCCGUAACAAGGUCUCCGUUGGUGAACCAGCGGAGGGAUCAUUAAAGAGUUGCAAGACUCCCAAACCAUUGUGAACAUACCUUCAACGUUGCUUCGGCGGGUUGGCCCCGGUCUCCGGGGUCCCCGGCCCUACUCGGGCGCCCGCCGGAGGUAUCUAACUCUUGAACUUUUAUGGCCUCUCUGAGUCUUUGUACUUAAUAAGUCAAAACUUUCAACAACGGAUCUCUUGGUUCUGCAUCGAUGAAGAACGCAGCGAAAUGCGAUAAGUAAUGUGAAUUGCAGAAUUCAGUGAAUCAUCGAAUCUUUGAACGCACAUUGCGCCCGCCAGUAUUCUGGCGGGCAUGCCUGUUCGAGCGUCAUUUCAACCAUCAAGCCCCCGGCCUGUGUUGGGGACCUGCGGCUGCCGCAGGCCCUGAAAACCAGUGGCGGGCUCGCUAGUCACUCCGAGCGUAGUAAUACAUCUCGCUCAGGGCGUGCUGCGGGUUCCGGCCGUUAAAAAGCCUUAUUUACCCAAGGUUGACCUCGGAUCAGGUAGGAAGGCCCGCUGAACUUAAGCAUAUCAAUAAGCGGAGGA
rnacentral:rRNA from 1 species